rnacentral:piRNA from 1 species
UCACAGGAUCUGCACUGUUGCAGCAACUGU